UGGCAAAUCGAUAAAUAUUGC
ensembl:piRNA 21ur-912 ncRNA